rnacentral:rRNA from 1 species
GACGAACGCUGGCGGCGUGCCUAAUACAUGCAAGUUGAGCGCUCAAGGUUGGUGCUUGUUCCUCCUGGAUGAGCAGCGAACGGGUGAGUAACACGUGGGGAAUCUACCUUUAAGCCUGGGACAACUUUUGGAAACCAAUGCUAAUACCGCAUAAUAUCUUUAAACACAUGUUUUAAGUUUGAAAGAUGCUUUUGCUUUCCCUAAAGAUUAUCCCGCCUUGUAUUAGCUUAUUUGUGAAGUAAAGGCUCAACAAGGCGAUGAUACAUAGCCGACCCGAGAGGGUGGUUGGGCACAAUGGGACCUGGAAAACGGCCAAACUCCUACGGGAAGCAGCAGUAGGGAAUCCUCGGCAAAGGAGGAAAGGCUUGACGAGCAACGGCGGGUGAGGGAAGAAGGGUUUCGGAUUGUAAAAAUUCGUUUGUAGGGGAGAAAGAAGGUGGGAGUGGAAAACGCAUCAAGUGACGGUAACUACCCAGAAAGGGACGGCUAACUACGUG